UACAGAGGGUGCAAGCGUUGUCCGGAAUUAUUGGGCGUAAAGAGCUCGUAGGCGGUGUGUCGCGUCGGCCGUGAAAACCUGCAGCUUAACUGUGGGCUUGCGGUCGAUACGGGCAUCACUGGAGUUCGGCAGGGGAGACUGGAAUUCCUGGUGUAGCGGUGAAAUGCGCAGAUAUCAGGAGGAACACCGGUGGCGAAGGCGGGUCUCUGGGCCGAUACUGACGCUGAGGAGCGAAAGCGUGGGGAGCGAACAGG
rnacentral:rRNA from 1 species